CAACAUCCAUAACUUAAUUAAACAUGUAUAAUAUAGAAAUAUUAAACAGUCCUCAUUAAUUACAUUCCACAAUACAAACAGUCCUCACAUCACAUAGAAAUCAGCUAGGAAAUGCAAUGAUUUAGAAUAUAAUGUUAUACAAGAGUUAUAUAAAACUAAUUAAAGCCAUGCUCUAAUUCCCAUUUUUUCAUUUCACUUUCAACUUGAAUGUUGCAUUAUGCAGGUUUCAGAACAUGUACCUGGAAUUUGCACAAAGAAAAAUAGGUAAGGAGCAAUAAGCAGCCGCAGAGAUCAUAAACAGGAAGAAAUGGAAUCAACUACGCCCAGAUUAAGACAGUCAAAAUCAAUGAAAUCAGCUUUCAGGAACCCAAUAAAACAGUAAACCUAACCACAAAACUUGAACCGAAACUUCCAAAAUCCCAAGUCUAAUCAAUUUUUACCAUCAGAUGAAUCAACAUUGUUUUAGAACUUGAAUGAAUUGAAGAUUACUGAAGAAAUUCAAUGAAAUAGUAAAAAACGCUCAGCCGUUUGGAUUUCUGUGCUUUUUAGCUCUCUA
rnacentral:lncRNA from 1 species